rnacentral:ncRNA from 1 species
GGGUGCUCGGUCCUGCGUUUGGGCGAGCAGGUCGUGCGUUGGUCGGGCCGCCAGCG